UUGGAUUUCUUAGGCUAGAAAGACAAAUUUCACUACCCGCCAUAAGGUACCUUUUGUCAAUUAUGGUCACAUAUUAUACUGCUAAAAUAUAUCUUAAUUAUAAAAGAGAGGAAAGCUAUAAUUCUCAUUAUUGAUUAAAUUAGACUAGAUCUAGCAAUGUCAUGCAUCAAGAAUCAAUACUGAUAUUAUGGUGCUAACUAAAAACUAGUAAAAAUUAAUUUUCAGUCAUUUAAAUAAUUUUAAUGAUGAAAGAUACUACUACACUUAUACACUAAUAGACUAGGCAUGCUGCUGUAUUUGCCUGUGCUAAGUUUUCAGGUACUCUAGUCAUGUAGGUCAUGGUUGAUUACGUGAUAAUGAAUCCAAUGCAUUGAAUUGAAUUGCAGCUACAAAGACAAAAAGUAACUCCAGACCCACUCCAGACUGCAUCCAAAUUUCAUGAUGAUUGAAAUAUCAAUAUGACAUAAGACAAGGAGAAGUAGACUGUAACAAAAGAACACAUCAAGUUGCAAACGAAAAUGAAAAUAAUUGGACUUAUUAAUGAGACCAUCUCUACACACCCAAGAGUUACCAUGCAUGAUCCGUGAAUGAUGGGUAUCAGGCCUGGACCAGGUUUGAUUCUAUAACGGUCCAGCAUCGACGGCCAUCACUGCUGAAUCGAGCCUGUUGCUCUGGCCUGGACCAGUAUCUAUUUCAGUUCCGAUGUAGUCAUAGCUGAUACAGUAAUGUCUGUUCAUCAGCACUGGUCCAGGCUGUAUAUCAGUACUGGAUCAGAUCGAUGCUUUUCAAGAUGGCAGCCCCGCGUGGACUAUCUGACAUGUUUUGUUAAAGAAAAUCAUCUUAAUCUGACUCUUUAAGAGAAAUCUCGUUGGCUGUAUACACUAGGGCUAAAUCACUGGAUGUUAUGCUAUUUUGAACCAUUUAUUACUUAAACAUGAGUAGGAUACACGAUAUUUUGAGUAAAAAAUACAUGACUG